AGUCCACGCAUGGCCUCCUCUGAAGCUCCCUACCACCUGGCCAGGUCUCUGCUAUGUUGAGCUCCAUCUCUCAGUAGCAACCCACGUUGGGCACAGUCCUCUGUGUCUUAUGCAUUAACAAAUGUAACAUUCCUGACCAACAACCUUAUGAGGCAGACCGUUUUGUUACCAAUGCUGUCUUACGGAUGAAAGAUGGGAAGCACAGAGAGGCAUCAGGGUCUUUUCAAAUAAGUCAGCUCUUCACAUCAGGUGGCCAAAGUAUUGGAGUUUCAGCUUCAACAUCAGUCCUUCCAAUGAACACCCAGGACUGAUCUCCUUUAGGAUGGACUGGUUGGAUCUCCCAUAACUUCUCUCUGGGGCCAACCUCCUCCUUGGUCUGCUGAAGCACCAUCUAUUGUCAUCCCCAGAAGACCUCCCUUUGUGGUGCAGUAACCACCCUUCUAUCUGUCUCUGGAUAAGCCCCUCCACCUGAUUCUAGAACUGCUGAAGACUCUGUUGGGUCAAAAGUACCCUCAGGCUUCCCUGGUGGUCCAAUGGUUAAGAAAUCACCUGCAAAGUGCAGGGGACACGGGUUUGAUGUCUGGUUCAAGAAGAUCC
ensembl:lncRNA